rnacentral:rRNA from 1 species
UACGGGGGGGGCAAGCGUUGUUCGGAAUUACUGGGCGUCAAGGGCUCGUAGGUGGCCAACUAAGUCAUACGUGAAAUCCCUCGGCUUAACCGGGGAACUGCGUCUGAUACUGGAUGGCUUGAAUUCGGGAGAGGGAUGCAGAAUUCCAGGUGUAGCGGUGAAAUGCGUAGAUAUCUGGAGGAAUACCGGUGGCGAAGGCGGCAUCCUGGACCGACAUUGACGCUGAGGAGCGAAAGCUAGGGGAGCAAACGGG